rnacentral:misc_RNA from 1 species
UCAAACUUGGUCAUUUAGAGGAAGUAAAAGUCGUAACAAGGUCUCCGUAGGUGAACCUGCGGAGGGAUCAUUAGAGAGUUGCAAAACUCCCCAAACCAUCGCGAACAUACCACUGUCGUUGCUUCGGCGGGCGGCCCCAGGCGGGGCCCGCGGCUACGGCGCCCGCCGGAGUCCCCUAUACUCUUGCUGCAAGCGGCCUCUCUGAGUCGUACCGAAUACGUUAAAACUUUCAACAACGGAUCUCUUGGCUCUGGCAUCGAUGAAGAACGCAGC